UACGAAGGGGGCUAGCGUUGUUCGGAAUUACUGGGCGUAAAGCGCGCGUAGGCGGUUUUGCAAGCCAGAGGUGAAAUGCCUGAGCUCAACUCAGGAAUGGCCUUUGGGACUGCGAGGCUUUGAGGACUGGAGAGGUGAGUGGAAUUCCCAGUGUAGAGGUGAAAUUCGUAGAUAUUAGGAAGAACACCAGUGGCGAAGGCGGCUCACUGGUCCGGUACUGACGCUGAGGUGCGAAAGCGUGGGGAGCAAACAGG
rnacentral:rRNA from 1 species